AUUGAACGCUGGCGGCAGGCCUAACACAUGCAAGUCGAGCGAGCGGCGGACGGGUGAGUAAUGUCUGGGAAACUGCCUGAUGGAGGGGGAUAACUACUGGAAACGGUAGCUCAUACCGCAUACCAUCUGAUGUACUCAUAUGGGAUUAGCUAGUAGGUGGGGUAACGGCUCACCUAGGCGACGAUCCCUAGCUGGUCUGAGAGGAUGAUCAGCCACACUGGGACUGAGACACGGCCCAGACUCCUACGGGAGGCAGCAGUGGGGAAUAUUGCACAAUGGGCGCAAGCCUGAUGCAGCCAUGCCGCGUGUAUGAAGAAGGCCUUAGGGUUGUAAAGUACUUUCAGUGGGGAGGCGUUACCCGCAGAAGAAGCACCGGCUAACUCCGUGCCAGCAGCCGCGGUAAUUC
rnacentral:rRNA from 1 species